rnacentral:lncRNA from 1 species
CUUUCUCUGCCACUAGCAACCAGAAUAGCACUUUACCAUUUGGUUGGCUAGAUAAGUGGCUGGCUACCUAUUUUUCUCACUGUGGUGUCAUUGGCUAAACAGUCUUUCAUUAAAAAUUGAAAUGUAAAUUGAAGUCACAUGAAAAAUCACCUUCGGUUGUAAACUUCCAAUAUUUUGAUUCUCUAUCCAUGUUUUCGUCACAUGCUGAGUAAAAGUGCCUUACAAUGUAAAAAUUGUACAGUACUUAUGUUCCCAAGUAGCAUCAUCAUCUUUUGGGUAGUAAUUACAUUGUGGUAUGAAUAUUUAGAAAAAUGGACCUCAGCAGUGUAUUUACUGUUCAUCUCUUAAGUCCUUAACUGUAGUUUUAAUAAGCAUGACAUUAUUUGAUAAGUAUAUAACAUUUACAUCAUUUCAAAAAAUACUGCCAUGACUGUCCUUUAUGCAUAUUUUAGCUUAAAAUUUUGAAGCAAUACUUUAAUGAGCUCUUUGUUCCUGGGGGGAGGGGGGUGGGAAGGGUGAGUUUUACUUUCAUCUCAAUUUAUUAAAAACCCACAACUGAAGUACAUUUUAUUUCAAUGAUCAUCAGUUUUAGAAUUUCAGAUAGUACUUGCUCUGGAGUACAUGUUACUCAAGAUAUUAAGAGAAUAACAAGAUAUGUAGAUCU